AUCUUUGCCAGAGAGUGGGGAAGGCCAAGGAAAUGGCAGCUUCCACAUCACUCAGAGAGACCUACCGAGCAUGGGGAGCAUCACCAGCCUCAAAAAAGACACCCUCAUUCAACUGCUGACCUUUUUGCCAUGUUUGCUGAGCACAUACAUAAGCUGUAACAAUUUAUCUGGAAGAGGAAAUCCCAAGUUUGCUAGGUUGAAAAGAAGCAUUUACAAAGGCUAAAGAGAAGAUGUUUCUGAAAGAUGCUUUGGUGAAAUUAGUCUUUUCUUCAAGGAGAUCUAUAAUCUUGAGAUUGUGGAAGAACAUUUCUUGCUCAAAACACUUCCAUACUGGCUGUACCAAAACACGUGAGAAGAUUUUCACUGGAUUGUACAAAGGCAUCUUCAUAAG